GGGUUUAACACUACUUGAUCUUAUCUGAGCGGUACCGAAAGGAGUAACGGCGGCGGCGGUUGACGGUCGCCGACGGAGAAGCAAGGCGGAUACAGCCACCCAAUCACAGCAUCUUCCGAUGCCUGAUGGUUGCAGGAGGCUCCGUUAUUACUUCACCCGUUAGCCUCAUCGCUAUUCUCCGUCGUAACCCCUCCGGCCACCGUGAUGAAGACUGCCCGCUACCGGAGCCCUACAUUCAAUAUUAAUCCGGCGAUGAUGGCACCGCGGGCUUACCAAUUAUUAUUAUUAUUUUUUUUAACUUCCAGUAUUUAAGUUUAAUGCUAUGAUUUGAAGUUUAGUUUUUUUUGUUAUUGCAUUGAUAAUUUAAAUCUGUAUAGGAAGUUUCUUUUAUCUUUUAUUGAUUGCUUUGCAGUUGCAUCAUCUAUAGACAUUUUUUUGGUUAUUUUCCAUUGAAGUUGCAGGUGUUGCUGCUGGGAUGAUGAAUUUAGGUCCAUGAUUUUGAAGGAAAGAGGAAGAGUUUGAAGUUCAUAUGAAUUUAUGGUUAAUUUAGUUAUGUUUAUUGAGUUUGAGUUGGGUUAGUGUUGGUAUGAAAUUAGUAUAAUAGAUGGUUAAUAUUAUUGUGUUUGUAUUUGUGUUUAUGCGCUUUGGUUUAUAAUAAAAAGAGACUGUGUUUGUUUAUAUGACGGUCCGUGU
rnacentral:lncRNA from 1 species